GACGAACGCUGGCGGCGUGCUUAACACAUGCAAGUCGAACGGGCCUGUCUUCUUUUUUGGGGGUGGGUUGAGUGGCGAACGGGUGAGUAUCACGUGAGUAACCUGCCCUUCGGUCCUGGAUAACCGCUUGAAAGGGCGGCUAAUACGGGGUGGUCCGGUUGGUCCGCAUGGGCUGGUCGGGAUAGAUUCACUGUUUUUGGUGUUUCGGCGGGGGAUGGGCUCGCGGCCUAUCAGCUUGUUGGUGGGGUGAUGGCCUACCAAGGCGGUGACGGGUAGCCGGCCUGAGGGGGUGGGCGGCCAGAAUGGGGCUGAGGUACGGCCCAGAAUCCUGGGGGAGGGAGCAGUGGGGGGUAUUGCACAAUGGGGGGAAGCCUGAUGCAGCGACGUCGCGUGAGAGAUGGAGGCCUUCGGGUUGUGAACCUCUGUUUCCGGUGGUGAAGGCCCUGUCCGUGUGGUGGGGUUGACGGUAGCCGGGGAUGAAGCGCCGGCUAACUACGUG
rnacentral:rRNA from 1 species